rnacentral:lncRNA from 1 species
AUGUGCCCUUAUCUAUGGAAACUAAAAAGGGGCAAAGACAGACCUCAGCAAGAUGGAUUCUAAAAUUCAUGCAGAAAACAGUCAGCCUCUCAGUGAAAACAGGCAUUUCACGAGUUUUCAGGCAUCAUCUGUGUCUCAAAGGAUGGAGAUGAGAAAUAAAGAUCUGGGCUCCACUUUUCCAGAGGUCAAGAGCGAUCCAGAGCGCAGAAUGAACAGAGUUCCUUGUUUGGAGUGCAGAAAUCAUUUCAACACGUGCUUACAAGAGAUGGUGCAAAUGAUGGAAGAAAUGGAAAAGGCCAUCAUAAAGGAAAAAAGUGAAAUAUUGGAAGAAAGUGAGCGAAUCAUAGAACAAGACAAAAUCAUAGAGGGUAUGCAGAAAAAAGUAAACGAAUUCUUAGGAGUGCAGAACCUUAAAUUUGUUGAGUUGAACUAUCUGUGGCUGUUUAGCAGGCCCUUAAAAUUGUCUGUCUGCUAUUUCAUCGCACUGCUGUUGUUUUAUAAAUCCUUACAUGUUUUGGCCUGGCUAUGUCUUCAACUGAGUAACAUCUACUGGCACUACCUACCAUGUGAAUAUCCAUACUGAUGCAAGAGGAUUUGAAAAACUGGCCUUUAGUGGUUACUGUAUUGCAUCUGCAGAGACAAUAAAGCAAAGUAAUUCUUAAAUCA